AUUGAACGCUGGCGGCAGGCCUAACACAUGCAAGUCGAACGAGUGGCGGACGGGUGAGUAAUGUCUGGGAAACUGCCCGAUGGAGGGGGGUAACUACUGGAAACGGUAGCUAAUACCGCAUACGAUAGGAUGUGCCCCGAUUGGGUUAGCUAGUAGGUGGGGGAACGGCUCACCUAGGCGACGAGCCCUAGCUGGGCUGAGAGGAUGACCAGCCACACUGGAACGGCGACACGGCCCAGACUCCUACGGGAGUCAGCAGUGGAGAAUAUUGCACAAUGGGCGCAAGCCUGAUGCAGCCAUGCCGCGUGUAUGAAGAAGGCCUUCGGGUUGUAAAGUACUUUCAGUGAGGAGGCGUUACUCGCAGAAGAAGCACCGGCUAACUCCGUGCCAGCAGCCGCGGUAAUUC
rnacentral:rRNA from 1 species